rnacentral:rRNA from 1 species
UACGGGAGGCAGCAGUGGGGAAUAUUGCACAAUGGGCGCAAGCCUGAUGCAGCCAUGCCGCGUGUAUGAAGAAGGCCUUCGGGUUGUAAAGUACUUUCAGUCGUGAGGAAGGUGUUAAGGUUAAUAACCUUAGCAAUUGACGUUAGCGACAGAAGAAGCACCGGCUAACUCCGUGCCAGCAGCCGCGGUAAUACGGAGGGUGCGAGCGUUAAUCGGAAUUACUGGGCGUAAAGGGCACGCAGGCGGUUAAUUAAGUUGGAUGUGAAGUCCCCGGGCUUAACCUGGGAAUGGCAUUCAAGACUGGUUAGCUAGAGUCUUGUAGAGGGGGUAGAAUUCCAUGUGUAGCGGUGAAAUGCGUAGAGAUGUGGAGGAAUACCGGUGGCGAAGGCGGCCCCUGGACAAAGACUGACGCUCAUGUGCGAAAGCGUGGGGAGCGAAACAGGGAUUAGAUACC